UGGCGCACGGGUGCGUAACGCGUGGGAAUCUGCCCUUGGGUACGGAAUAACAGUUAGAAAUGACUGCUAAUACCGUAUAAUGACUUCGGUCCAAAGAUUUAUCGCCCAGGGAUGAGCCCGCGUAGGAUUAGCUAGUUGGUGAGGUAAAAGCUCACCAAGGCGACGAUCCUUAGCUGGUCUGAGAGGAUGAUCAGCCACACUGGGACUGAGACACGGCCCAG
rnacentral:rRNA from 1 species